rnacentral:sRNA from 1 species
GCAAUUUCACUUCGCUCUUUUGCAUACAUUCAUUAUGGGAUUGCUCUGGUUUCGACAGGGGU